rnacentral:rRNA from 1 species
AGAAGGGAAUUCCUGGUGUAGCGGUGGAAUGCGCAGAUAUCAGGAGGAACACCGAUGGCGAAGGCACUUCUCUGGUCCGUAACUGACGCUGAGGAGUGAAAGCGUGGGGAGCGAACAGGAUUAGAUACCCUGGUAGUCCACGCUGUAAACGGUGGGUGCUAGUUGUGGGUCACAUUCCACGUGAUCCGUGACGCAGCUAACGCAUUAAGCACCCCGCCUGGGGAGUACGGUCGCAAGACUAAAACUCAAAGGAAUUGACGGGGACCCGCACAAGCGGUGGAUGAUGUGGUUUAAUUAGAUGCAACGCGAAAAACCUUACCCACCUUUGACAUGUACGGAAGGAUCCAGAGAUGGAUUUGUGCUCGAAAGAGAACCGUAACACAGGUGCUGCAUGGCUGUCGUCAGCUCGUGUCGUGAGAUGUUGGGUUAAGUCCCGCAACGAGCGCAACCCUUGUCAUUAGUUGCUACAUUUAGUUGGGCACUCUAGUGAGACUGCCGGUGACAAACCGGAGGAAGGUGGGGAUGACGUCAAGUCCUCAUGGCCCUUAUAGGUGGGGCUACACACGUCAUACAAUGGCUGGUACAAAGGGUUGCCAACCCGCGAGGGGGAGCUAAUCCCAUAAAACCAGUCGUAGUCCGGAUCGCAGUCUGCAACUCGACUGCGUGAAGUCGGAAUCGCUAGUAAUCGUGGAUCAGAAUGUCACGGUGAAUACGUUCCCGGGUCUUGUACACACCGCCCGUCACACCAUGGGAGCGGGUUCUGCCAGAAGUAGUUAGCCUAACCGCAA